AUUGAACGCUGGCGGCAGGCCUAACACAUGCAAGUCGAACGAGUGGCGGACGGGUGAGUAAUGUCUGGGAAACUUCCUGAUGGAGGGGGAUAACUACUGGAAACGGUAGCUAAUACCGCAUACCAUCAGAUGUGCCCAGAUGGGGUUAGCUAGUUGGGGGGGUAACGGCUCACCAAGGCGACGAUCCCUAGCUGAUCUGAGAGGGUGACCAGCCACACUGGAACUGAGACACGGCCCAGACUCCUACGGGAGGCAGCAGUGGGGAAUAUUGGGCAAUGGGCGCAAGCCUGAUGCAGCCAUGCCGCGUGUGUGAAGAAGGGCUUCGGGUUGUAAAGUACUUUCAGCGGAGAGGCGUUACCCGCAGAAGAAGCACCGGCUAACUCCGUGCCAGCAGCCGCGGUAAUAC
rnacentral:rRNA from 1 species